rnacentral:rRNA from 1 species
ACGAACGCUGGCGGCGUGCCUAACCACAUGCAAGUCGAACGGAAUGAGGGGGCUUGCUCCUUCAUUUAGUGGCGCACGGGUGAGUAACGCGUAGAUAAUCUGCCUGAUGAUCUGGGGAUAACAUUUCGAAAGGAGUGCUAAUACCGGAUAAGCCCACGAUGGCUUUGGCCGUUGCGGGAAAAAGGGGGGGACCUUCGGGCCUUCUGUCAUCAGAUGAGUCUGCGUACCAUUAGCUAGUUGGUAGGGUAAAGGCCUACCAAGGCGACGAUGGUUAGCUGGUCUGAGAGGAUGAUCAGCCACACUGGAACUGAGACAACGGUCCAGACUCCUACGGGAGGCAGCAGUGGGGGAAUUUUGCGCAAUGGGCGAAAGCCUGACGCAGCAACGCCGCGUGAGUGAUGAAGGCUUUCGGGUCGUAAAGCUCUGUCAAGGGGAAAAGAAAGUGUAUUGCGGUUAAUACCCGUGAUACUUGACGGUACCCCUAAAGGAAGCACCUGGCUAACUACGUGCCAGCAGCCGCGGUAAUACGGAGGGGGCCGAAGCGUUGUUCCGGAAUUAUUGGGCGUAAAGCGCGCGCUAGGCGGCUAUUUAAGUCUGGUGUUAAAGCCCCUUGGGCUCAACCUGGAAGGUCGCACUGGAAACUGGGUGGACUUGAAUUACAGGAAGAGGGUAAGUGGAAUUCCACUGGUGUAGGCGUGAAAUGCGUAGAUAUAGUGGAGGAACACCAGGUGGCGAAGGCGGACUUUACCUGGACUGAUACUUGACGCUGAGGACGCGAAAAGCGUGGGGAGCAAAACAGGAUUAGAUACCCUGGUAGUCCACGCCGCGGGGUAAACGAUGAGUACUAGGUGUUUAGGGGUUUUCGGUAUUGACCCUUGCAGUGCCGAAAGUUAACAGCAUUAAGCUACUCCGCCUGGGGAAGUACGGUCGCAAGACUGAAAACUCAAAGGAAUUGACGGGGGACCCGCACAAGCGAGUGGAGUAUGUGGUUUAAUUCGAAGCAACGCGAAGAAGCCUUACCAUGGGUCUUGACAUCCUAAGGUAACCAUUCCAGAACGGAGAGGUGCCCCUCUUCGGGGAGCAUUGGUAAGACAGGUGGUGCAUGGCUUGUCGUCAGGCUCGUGUCGUGAGAUGUUGGGUUAAGUCCCGCAACGAGGCGCAACCCCUUAUGCUCAGUUGCCAUCAUUAAUGUUGGGCACUCUAGCUGGAGGACUGCCGGUGUACAAACCGGAGGAAGGUGGGGGAUGACGUCAAAGUCAUCAUGGCCCUUAUGUACCAUGGGCUACACACGUAGCUACAAUGGCCGGUACAACGAGGCUGCGAAAAGCCGCAGAGGUGGAGCGAAUCUCAACUAAAGCCGGUCUCAGUUCGGAUUGGCAGGUCUGCAAACUCGCCUGCCAUGAAGUCGGAAAUUCGCUAGUAAUCGCGGAUCAGCAUGCCGCGGUGAAUACGUUUCCCGGGUCCUUGUACACACCGCCCGUCACACCACGGAGAGUCGAUGGUACCCGAAGUGCGUGAGGCUAACCCGCAAGGGAGGCCAGCCGUCCUAAGGAAUGGUCGGUAGAUGACUGG